ACUGCUCAGUAACACGUGGACAACCUGCCCUUAGGACGGGGAUAAACCCGGGAAACUGGGUAUAAUACCCGAUAGGUCUCGAUUGCUGGAAUGCAUCGAGAUUUAAAGCUCCGGCGCCUAAGGAUGGGUCUGCGGCCUAUCAGGUAGUAGUGGGUGUAGCGUACCUACUAGCCUACGACGGGUACGGGUUGUGAGAGCAAGAGCCCGGAGAUGGAUUCUGAGACACGAAUCCAGGCCCUACGGGGUGCAGCAGGCGCGAAAACUUUACAAUGCUGGCAACAGCGAUAAGGGAACCUCGAGUGCCAGGUUACAAAUCUGGCUGUCGAGAUGCCUAAAAAGCAUUUCAUAGCAAGGGCCGGGCAAGACCGGUGCCAGCCGCCGCGGUAACACCGGCGGCUCGAGUGGUAACCGUUAUUACUGGGUCUAAAGGGUCUGUAGCCGGCCGGAUAAGUCUCUUGAGAAAUCUGGCAGCUUAACUGUCAGGCUUUCAGGAGAUACUGUCUGGCUCGAGGCCGGGAGAGGUGAGAGGUACUUCAGGGGUAGGGGUGAAAUCUUGUAAUCCUUGAAGGACCACCAGUGGCGAAGGCGUCUCACCAGAACGGACCUGACGGCAAGGGACGAAAGCUAGGGGCACGAACCGGAUUAGAUACCCGGGUAGUCCUAGCCGUAAACGAUACUCGCUAGGUGUCGGCCACGGUGCGACCGUUGUCGGUGCCGUAGGGAAGCCGUGAAGCGAGCCACCUGAGAAGUACGGCCGCAAGGCUGAAACUUAAAGGAAUUGGCGGGGGAGCAC
rnacentral:rRNA from 1 species